rnacentral:rRNA from 1 species
UUCCGACACAGGUGAAUUAGAGUUAUGUUCUAAGGCUAAAUAGAAAUAACCAGGUUGAAGGAACUCGGCAAAAUGCUUACGUGCUUAUCGACAAGUAAGGACUAUAAAUGUUACAAUAUAAUUGAAGGCAACGACUGUUUAAUCAAAACACAAGACUCUGCUUAAUGUAAAACGUAUUA